GUGCAACAACCGGUGCAAGGAGAGUGUAUCGUGUUAGGGCACCACUCUCCAUUGUUCACAUUGAUGGAAAUCAUAAGAUUUUCAGAAAGUUGCGCUUCGUCAUUCACGGAGGCAUUGAUGGUUACUUCCGUUUAAUUUUUGUUAUGCGUGUAUCUUCAAAUAACAGAGCAAAAUUGUGCUAGAAGGAUUUUUAUCAGGAGUUGAAGAAUAUGGGUUGCCAUCUAGAAUCAGAACCGAUCGUGGAGGAGAAAACGUUGAAGUUUCAGAAUUUAUGCUUCGAGCUUGGGGACCUAACAGAAGAAGUUGCAUGACUGGUUCCUCUGUUCAUAAUCAAAGAGUAGAAAGGAUAUGGCGCGAUGUCAGAAUGGGAUGUGUGUCAAUUUUUGAACGGGAUUUUCAAAUAUGGAGGAAGAUGGAUUACUAGACUCCAGCGAUGAGAAUGACAUGUACUGCUUGCAUACUGUGUACUACAAUGUCAUAUCUGAACACGUAAGAUAAUUUAUUUGUUACUGUAAUGCUUACCACCUGUCUUCCGUUCGUGUCAGUCCUAUACAAAUAUUCAUCGAUGGAACUAUUGCACUCCGCGAACAAGCAACAAACGAGGGAAUGGAAUUUACUGAACUGAGACAGGAUAUUGAAAUCCCACGCUUGGAAGACAUU